CGUAGGAGGGGAGGCACGGCGGUC
rnacentral:miRNA from 1 species